rfam:Diplodia seriata DS_831_scaffold_v01_111, whole genome shotgun sequence.
UCCGUUAUGGUCUAGGGGUUAGGAUUCUCCGCUUUCAAAGUCAUUAUUGACUUGAAGAUCCGGAGCGGCCCGGGUUCGAUUCCCGGUAACGGAA